AUUGAACGCUGGCGGCAGGCUUAACACAUGCAAGUCGAGCGAGCGGCGGAAGGGAGAGUAAUGUAUGGGAAACUGCCUGAUGGAGGGGGACAACAAAUGGAAACGGUAGCUAAUAACGCAUACAAGAAGAUGUGCCGAGAUGGGAUUAGCUAGUAGGUGGGGUAAAGGAUCACCAAGGCGACGAUCCCUAGCUGGUCUGAGAGGAUGACCAGCCACACUGGAACUGAGACACGGUCCAGACUCCUACGGGAGGCAGCAGUGGGGAAUAUUGCACAAUGGGCGCAAGCCUGAUGCAGCCAUGCCGCGUGUGUGAAGAAGGCCUUCGGGUUGUAAAGCACUUUCAGCUAGGAGGCGUUACUCGCAGAAGAAGCACCGGCUAACUUCGUGCCAGCCGCCGCGGUAAUUC
rnacentral:rRNA from 1 species